rnacentral:rRNA from 1 species
AGAGUUUGAUUCUGGCUCAGAACGAACGCUGGCGGCGUGGAUAAGACAUGCAAGUCGAGCGCUGAUUACAGGGUAGCAAUAUUCUGUGGUCGGAGCGGCGCAAGGGUGCGUAACACGUGGGUAAUUUGCCAUGAAGUCUGGAAUAACUUGCUGAAAGGCGAGCUAAUGCCGGAUGUGAAAAUUGGGAGGCAUCUUCUGAUUUUCAAAGCUGGGGACCGUAAGGCCUGGCGCUUCAUGAUAAGCCCGCGGCCUAUCAGCUAGUUGGUGAGGUAACGGCUCACCAAGGCUAAGACGGGUAGCUGGUCUGAGAGGACGACCAGCCACACUGGAACUGAGACACGGUCCAGACACCUACGGGUGGCAGCAGUCGAGAAUUUUUCACAAUGGGCGAAAGCCUGAUGGAGCGACGCCGCGUGGGGGAUGAAUGGCUUCGGCCCGUAAACCCCUGUCAUUCGGGAUCAAUGCGUUUGGGUGAACAUCCCAAACGUUGAUAGUACCGGAAGAGGAAGGGACGGCUAACUCUGUGCCAGCAGCCGCGGUAAUACAGAGGUCCCAAGCGUUGUUCGGAUUUACUGGGCGUAAAGGGUGCGUAGGUGGUUGGGUAAGUCUGAUGUGAAAUCUCGGAGCUUAACUCCGAAACGGCAUUGGAUACUAUUCAGCUUGAGAGUUGGAGGGGGGACUGGAAUUCUCGGUGUAGCAGUGAAAUGCGUAGAUAUCGAGAGGAACACCAGUGGCGAAGGCGAGUCCCUGGACAACUUCUGACACUGAGGCACGAAAGCCAGGGGAGCAAACGGGAUUAGAUACCCCGGUAGUCCUGGCCCUAAACGGUGCACGUUUGCUGUAAAAGGAAUCGACCCCUUUUGUGGCGAAGCCAACGCGUUAAACGUGCCGCCUGGGAAGUACGGUCGCAAGAUUAAAACUCAAAGAAAUUGACG